UACGUAGGGGGCAAGCGUUGUCCGGAUUUAUUGGGCGUAAAGAGCUCGUAGGUGGUUCGGUAAGUCGGAUGUGAAAUCUCCAGGCUCAACCUGGAGGGGUCAUUCGAUACUGCCGUGACUAGAGGUCGGUAGGGGAGAGUGGAAUUCCUGGUGGAGCGGUGAAAUGCGCAGAUAUCAGGAGGAACACCCGUAGCGAAGGCGGCACUCUGGGCCGAUACUGACACUGAGGAGCGAAAGCGUGGGGAGCGAACAGG
rnacentral:rRNA from 1 species